rnacentral:lncRNA from 1 species
GCUGGACGCUGAGAGUUCCUCUUCCCAGCUGCAGGGAAUAAGGUUCAGAACACUGAGUCAUCGAGGCUUAAAAUUCAACGGCAAUAAUACUUUGUGGGGUGCAGAAAGCACACUCAGACGCCACAACUUGUUACAGAAACAGAUCGCUGCUCGGGAAGGUUAAUCCGCUUUGAACAAGAUAAGGCACGAAGAGGCUGACAUCAGAGACUUCCCUCGGUUCCAGUCAAACACAGCACAGAGCAGCACAGCCAGCGAGCAUAUGCGCUGUUUGAACAAGACAUACUUCUGCCCGUGAUUGAUACUGGCUUUCGAGAGCAGAAGUAAGGACUUGCGAGCGAGUCGGCUCUAUAUUGGCGGAAGUGAAAGAACAUUGCAUUUCUGGUCAUCUGAGUCAUAGCACGGCAACGAUGGUGAUGCAGGGCCUGGAGAAGUCGGCCUCCCCCGCCCGCCUGGUGGAGUCACACGUGGCUGAACUCUACAGAGGAUGAUGACCACACACGAGGCUGGAGUAGUGAAAGGAAAGAGUGGAAAACGUUCCAUGCUGGAUUGAGGUAAAAUGAGAGGCUUAGUGCAAUUAUUACUAACAAGCAGCAUCGUUAGGGCAUGGGACAUGCUUCCCAGAAGCUCAUAAGAACAAAAGCAGAGAACAGCCUUUCCUAUCAAUAUGUCUACCCAUCGAAUCCUGACCUGCGUUUCUGCCAGCCAACCCCGGGAGAAGACGUGCUCUUUGGGCUCAGCAGCAUCACUGAUUCUGCUCGCAGAGGUAAAGAGCUUUGGAAUUUCGCCUACAACUCACAUGGUGAAAGAAGAUGGGAAAGGAUGGAUGAAAGAUCCUGUCAGAUGUGGUUGCAGGUUGAAGAGGCUGAGAGAUGGAGCACAGCAUGCACAGCUCCAUGUGUGCAUCCAGACACACCUGCCAUCGGAGCGCGGCUGUGCCCGGAGCAGGCAGGGCGAGCAGGCGCCAACCCUCCUGCUCACAGGUCUCGUCCUCUGCGGGCUCCUUCACCUG